ACGGAGACGGGGUCCAUUAUAUGGUUUCCGUGCGAUCUCUGAUAGUUUCAAUUAGAUGAACUAUAAGUGCUGGCUGGCGUUCUAUGUUGCCAAGACGUCUAUCAUUCCUUUCUUUCCAUACAUGAUCUAUGGUUGUUUGGAAGGUUACCCAAACAUGUAUAUAGGUUCACUGACCAAAGCGCUGGGCUGAGACCAGUGCCGGCUUUGGACAUGUGCAGAAGGUGCUGUAGCAAUACAAUAGAACUCGAUUAUGAAAUUUGCGGGGAUUUUCUCUUUAAUAUCUAGUGGUCUUGGCCCAAGCCC